rnacentral:rRNA from 1 species
GACGAACGCUGGCGGCGUGCUUAACACAUGCAAGUCGAACGAUGAAGCCCAGCUUGCUGGGUGGAUUAGUGGCGAACGGGUGAGUAACACGUGAGUAACCUGCCCUGGACUCUGGGAUAACCCCGAGAAAUCGGAGCUAAUACCGGAUAGGACCUUUCCCCGCAUGGGGUUUGGUGGAAAGUUUUUCGGUCUGGGAUGGACUCGCGGCCUAUCAGCUUGUUGGUGAGGUAAUGGCUCACCAAGGCGUCGACGGGUAGCCGGCCUGAGAGGGUGCCCGGUCACACUGGGACUGAGACCCGGCCCAGACUCCUACGGGAGGCAGCAGUGGGGAAAAUUGCACAAUGGGCGCAAGCCUGAUGCAGCAACGCCGCGUGCGGGAUGACGGCCUUCGGGUUGUAAACCGCUUUUAGUAGGGAAGAAGGGCUUCGGCUUGACGGUACCUGCAGAAAAAGGACCGGCUAACUACGUGCCAGCAGCCGCCGCAGUAA